UGGGGAAUAUUGCACAAUGGGCGCAAGCCUGAUGCAGCCAUGCCGCGUGUAUGAAGAAGGCCUUCAGGUUGUAAAGUACUUUCAGCGAGGAGGAAGGCGUUGUGGUUAAUAACCGCAGCGAUUGACGUUACUCGCAGAAGAAGCACCGGCUAACUCCGUGCCAGCAGCCGCGGUAAUACGGAGGGUGCAAGCGUUAAUCGGAAUUACUGGGCGUAAAGCGCACGCAGGCGGUCUGUCAAGUCGGAUGUGAAAUCCCCGGGCUCAACCUGGGAACUGCAUCCGAAACUGGCAGGCUAGAGUCUUGUAGAGGGGGGUAGAAUUCCAGGUGUAGCGGUGAAAUGCGUAGAGAUCUGGAGGAAUACCGGUGGCGAAGGCGGCCCCCUGGACAAAGACUGACGCUCAGGUGCGAAAGCGUGGGGAGCAAACA
rnacentral:rRNA from 1 species